rnacentral:misc_RNA from 1 species
AGUUGCAGUCCAAGCAUUUAUGAGCUAUCACAUGGAAUUGAACUUCACCUUCUGCACCACAGUCAUUACAUAGAAUCCACACCUUCUUGUUUUUAUACAUAUCAGGCAUCGGGGUCGAAGCAAUCACUCUAUCAAGCUUUUCCCACAACCUAGACAUGUCACAGAUUGACUUUGAGCAAACAGGGCAAGAGUACUGGAAAUGUGAUUCCAUCUCCUUUGCACAUUCCAAAUGUAUGGUAUG